rnacentral:rRNA from 1 species
CGGAUUAGAUACCCUGGUAGUCCACGCCCUAAACGAUGUCGACUGGUUGUUGGUGGGGUUAAACCCAUUAGUAACGAAGCUAACGCGUGAAGUCGACCGCCUGGGGAGUACGGCCGCAAGGUUAAAACUCAAAGGAAUUGACGGGGACCCGCACAAGCGGUGGAUGAUGUGGAUUAAUUCGAUGCAACGCGAAGAACCUUACCUACCCUUGACAUGUACGGAAGCUCGAUGAGAGUCGAGUGUGCCCGAAAGGGAGCCGUAACACAGGUGCUGCAUGGCUGUCGUCAGCUCGUGUCGUGAGAUGUUGGGUUAAGUCCCGCAACGAGCGCAACCCUUGUCACUAGUUGCUACGCAAGGGCACUCUAGUGAGACUGCCGGUGACAAACCGGAGGAAGGUGGGGAUGACGUCAAGUCCUCAUGGCCCUUAUGGAUAGGGCUUCACACGUCAUACAAUGGCGCAUACAGAGGGCUGCCAACCCGCGAGGGGGAGCCAAUCCCAGAAAGUGCGUCGUAGUCCGGAUUGCAGUCUGCAACUCGACUGCAUGAAGUCGGAAUCGCUAGUAAUCGCGGAUCAGCAAUGUCGCGGUGAAUACGUUCCCGGGUCUUGUACACACCGCCCGUCACACCAUGGGAGUGGGUUUCACCAGAAGCCGGUUGCCUAACCGUAAGGAGGGCGCUGACCACGGUGAGAUUCAUGACUGGGGUGAAGUCGUAACAAG